rnacentral:rRNA from 1 species
CCUACGGGAGGCAGCAGUGAGGAAUAUUGGUCAAUGGGCGCGAGCCUGAACCAGCCAAGUCGCGUGAGGGAGGACGGCCCUACGGGUUGUAAAUCUCUUUUGCCGGGGAGCAACGGGCGCCACGUGUGGCGCCACUGAGAGUACCCGGAGAAAAAGCAUCGGCUAACUCCGUGCCAGCAGCCGCGGUAAUACGGAGGAUGCGAGCGUUAUCCGGAUUUAUUGGGUUUAAAGGGUGCGUAGGCGGAUCGUUAAGUCAGUGGUCAAAUUGAGGGGCUCAACCCCUUCCCGCCAUUGAAACUGGCGAUCUUGAGUGGAAGAGAAGUAUGCGGAAUGCGUGGUGUAGCGGUGAAAUGCAUAGAUAUCACGCAGAACCCCGAUUGCGAAGGCAGCAUGCCGGCUUCCGACUGACGCUGAAGCACGAAAGCGUGGGGAUCGAACAGGAUUAGAUACCCGGGUAGUC